GAUGAACGCUAGCUACAGGCUUAACACAUGCAAGUCGAGGGGUAACGAGAGGAAAGCUUGCUUUCCCUGUCGACGACCGGCGCACGGGUGAGUAACGCGUAUCCAACCUGCCCCCAACUAGGGAAUAACCUUGCGAAAGUAAGACUAAUACCCUAUAAUUUCCUCAGAUGACAUCUGACGAGGAAUAAAGAUUUAUCGGUUGUGGAUGGGGAUGCGUCUGAUUAGCUUGGUGGCGGGGUAACGGCCCACCAAGGCAACGAUCAGUGGGGGUUCUGAGAGGAAGGUCCCCCACAUUGGAACUGAGACACGGUCCAAACUCCUACGGGAGGCAGCAGUGAGGAAUAUUGGUCAAUGGGCGGAAGCCUGAACCAGCCAAGUAGCGUGUAGGAUGACGGCCCUAUGGGUUGUAAACCGCUUUUAUACAGGAAUAAAGUUAGCCACGUGUGGUUAUUUGUAGGUACUGUAUGAAUAAGGACCGGCUAAUUCCGUGCCAGCAGCCGCAGUAA
rnacentral:rRNA from 1 species